rnacentral:misc_RNA from 1 species
GAUGAAGAACGCAGCGAAAUGCGAUACGUAAUGUGAAUUGCAAAUUCAGUGAAUCAUCGAGUCUUUGAACGCACAUUGCGCCCGCCAGUAUUCUGGCGGGCAUGCCUGUCUGAGCGUCAUUUCAACCCUCAGCCCCCGCUCGCGGGGCGCUGGCGUUGGGGAUCGGCCGUCCUCGCGGCGGCCGGCCCCGAAACACAGUGGCGGUCUCUCGCGGACUCCCCUGCGUAGUAGCACUACCUCGCAGAAGGGACGAGCGGGCUGACCACGCCGUAAAACCCCCCACUUCUCCAGGUUGACCUCAGAUCAGGUAGGAAUACCCGCUGAACUUAAGCAUAUCAAUAAGCGGAGGA